UAUGGAAGUUCCCAGGCUAGGAGUCAAAACAGAGCUACAGCUGCCUGCCUACACCACAGCCACAGCAACGUAGGAUCUGAGCUGUGUUUGCGACCUACACCAUAGCUCAUGGCAACGCCAGAUCCCUAACCCACUUGCGAGGCCAGGGAUCAAAUCUGCGACCUCAUAGUUCCUAGUUCCUGCUGCACCACAAUGGGAACUCCACAAAUAUAUUCUUUAUAUCUUGUAAGCAUCUGACCAAAAGAAAACAAAAAUAACAAGCUUACUUUUAGCUACAGUUACCUUGAAAAUUAAGCCUCUUAAUAAGGAAAAUGGGAGCCUCUCCCUAGAUAGAACUGUAGGAAAAUGUUUAAAAGGCAAAUCCUUUUAUGGCAGAAAAGAGGUGUAGAAAUGCAAAAUCUUGGCUCUAACAUUAAUUUGGGGUUAACUAUAAAACAUGCGGUGGCUGGGCUUCUCCGUUUGUAACUUGGAAUGUCACCUGGAUAUGUUAGCUACAUUUGCAUUAUUUUAGCAACAUGUUAAUAAUAUUACGACACUUUAAAACAUACGAUUUUUAACAGCUGAAAAAUAUACAUAAUGCCUUUCUACAAUGUGCUUUCUUCAACACUGAAAGAUGAAGAAUGUAACAUCUACAAGAGCCCUUUGAAAAAUGAUGCAUCAUGAAGGUUAAGGAUCUGGCAUUGUCACUGCAGUGGUUCAAGUCACUGCUGUGGCGCAAGUUCGGUUCCUGCCCUGGGAACUUCUGCUUGCCACGGGCAUGACAAAGGAAGAAAGGAAGAAAGGGAGGAAGGGAGGGAGGGAGGGAGGAAGAAAAGCACAGAGAUUCUUUAAAAUAGGUGUAGUGAGGGAGUUCCCGUUGUGGCUCAGUGGUUAGCGAACCCAACUAGUAUCCAUGAGGAUGUGGGUUCGAUCCUUGGCUUCGCUCAAUGGGUUAAGGAUCCAGCAUUGCUGUGAGCUGUGGUGUAGGUCACAGAUGCGGCUCGGAUCCUGCGUUGCUGUGGCUGUGGUGUAGGCUGGCAGCUGUAGCUCCAAUUCGACGUUUGGCCUGAGAACUCCCAUACGCCUUGAGUGCGGCCCUAAAAAGCAAAAAAAGAAAAAAGAAAAAAGAAAAAGGCACACUGAUCUCUGAGAUGAAGCUCCAGAUGCUUAAGUGCCUUCUCCAGUAUUAGACCCAGUGGCUGAGGGAAGACGUUCCAAACAUGUAUUCCCCAAUUACACACAGGCCCAUGCUCCUGAUUCACCCCACGCAAGAUACUGCUAAGCUGCCAUCAGGAAGACAUGCGUUUUGUGAGGUUUUGCAGGAAUGGCAAUACGUCUGAAUUCUGUUAUUACUACAUGACCAACAGUAAACCAUCCUGAGCGUUGGCCUGGGAUGAGAUUGGCUGCCGGUCCCAGGACGGGUCCCCAAGGGAUUCUUACUAACGUUUCCUUUCCCCAUGUUCUUCCAGCCCUUGGACCGUCACAACCAACCAGCGCCACCAAGUGCCACGUUGAGCGGGGCGUACGCACCGUACCCUCCAUCCCCACAACAUCCUUAUUAGGAGGUAAUCACCCACUUUACAGACCCAGGUGAAGUAACUUUCUGCAGAUCAUUUAGCCACCAGAAUUAGGAUUCAAUUUACGGUGAAUUAACUCGCACUUUUCGACGUGCCAUUUGCCGUUUAUUGCCAAAUUUUCACUGUUCAGGACUUUUUUUUCCUUCCUUUGGUCAAGCCAAGAAGGGUUUCUAAUUAAAGGCCUCGAUUCAAACUUUGGAUCCUUUGUCCUCUCCCAUUAACUAGUGGCAGGAUUGGCUCAACCACUCACAGAUGUCCAGAACUACUUGGUUUUAUUAAAAUUCAACUCAGGUGUCGGUGGCCUCUGCGUAGUGGAAGAAAGUGGCUGAGGACAGGAGCUGGUUUCUUUUUCUUCAGCUGAAUUUGAUCUCACUGCAGUGAAACGGCACCUGCUUUUUCAGCCUUACUCCUUCCGGUAACUGGCCCAGACAGAACCUGGUCCCUGGGCAGCAGGGAGGUGGGUGCAGAGAGGGCUCAGGGACGCUGGCGGAGCUUGCAGAAAGAGGCACAAGGGAAUCCAGCCAGUGUCUGCUCUGGGGCAGCUGCUGUGAUGUGUGAGAGGUGCGUGUGUGCUCACACUGAACGCUCACAUGGAAGGUAAUUGUUCACAACGUUUAGAAAACCACGGUGAGCCUCGGAUAUGGACAACCGGCCAAGGAACAGCCUCUGGGCAGGAAGCAUCACGCCUCCUAAAACGAUGUAAUAAUUACUGCAGAUGCCCCAUCAUUGCAAUCCCGCCUCGGAGGAGAAAGAGAACGCGGGGAGCAGUACCCAGGAGGCCGCAGUUUCCGAUCCCAGACUCGGCGCCGGCUGCUGGGAGAGAGGCCGCCACCUCCCCCCGCCUCUCCUAAAACCCCCAGCGCCCCGCCUACCUCGCUAGUCCCGGGAUAAAACUUGCUCUUAAAGGAAGGGAAACUCGAUGUGCUGUCAGUGUCUGCAGAACUGUCCGUGUCAGAGGCUCCCAUCCGCUACCGCAGACGAACCGCCGGUGACAGCGGCCAGUCGGCAGCCCGCUUUCCUGACUUCCUGAUUCCUGGGCGGGCACUGCCCCUAGCAGGUUGGCUGGGGAAACGUAAUGCUGCAAAGGUGCUGGGGAUUUCCGAUGGACAUGUUCUAAAAUUAGGUUUUGAUGAUGGCUGUACGACUCAGAAUUAAAUUCACUGAAUUAUUAAAAAAAAAAAAGAAACUAAUAGGUACUUUGCCAUAAGUGGCCGAAAGACCACAACAGGAUCAAUGAGGCCAAAGGAAAAAAGGAUGUAAUUUUUCUUUGGGCACGAGUUUUUAUCAUAACUAGUCCUUAUCCACCGUUAUUUUCUAUUUGCCUCGUAGAAAUAAUAUAAUAUAUAUAUCAAAAAAUUGAAAGGGACAAAUGUAGAAGGAAAUAAUUUUUAAAACAGAUGUGAAGCAGAAUUUUACUAAGGAAUAUAAAGAGUAUAUAAGAGAAAAAAUAAAAAGCAAAUAUAUAAUAAAAAUUAAUGUAAAUAGAUUCACAGGGGAAGGCACUUUGUUUUUAAACAAUUAAAUAAUAAGCAGGUAUUUCAGAUCUAAAUAUGUCAUUUAUAAAUUAUGCAACCAGCAAGCCUAUCCUAGCCAGAGCUGCACAAAAUCACCUUUGGUUUAAAACAAAAGACAACGUACAGCAAAGUAUCUGUUCAAAUACAAGCCAAGGGCAAAGAGAGUUCUGUUCGUGAAACUUUAAAGAAAACUCACGCCUGGAAAAUAAUCACAAAUAAAAGGCAAGCAGAAAAGACAAUGCGAAAAUCAAGGAAAAUCUAAGAAGUAAACAAGAAGGAAAAAAUACAAACAAAGCAAAUUCUGUCCCAAAGUCCAAAGGAAGCGGGGAGUGUCCCCUAUUUUCUAUGAUCUGCAUCAACAGGUUGUGUUCACCGCUCUCUCCUUCCCCCAAACACAUUUAUAUCUCUGCCCCCAAACUCAUUCACAUAUAGAGCCGUCCAAAGUUUGGACUUUAAACCUACUUUUUUUUUUUUUUUUUCCUUUCAUGCUUACAGUUUUUGCUUCUUUCCCUUUGCUUUUUACUUUAGCCAAAAACAUCUGUUCCACCACUGCCUUUUCCUGUCAGGGAUGGACUCCCACAGGCUAGAAAUUGAUCUAAGGCUUCCAGACUCCCUGUCUCAGCUAAAUCUUCCAAACAUUCUUUUCUCCCAGGUGAUUUUUUUUUUUUUUUAAUUUCUGACUCCUUCUGUCUGAUUCUUCAAUGGAUCUUACUCCACGAAUCCCAGAGAUGUUUACAGUCUUAACAGUAUAUGUCAUCUAUUAGUGGAGCUGUUUUUUGCUUUUCUAAGAUCUCAAACAGAAUAUAACUGGUACUAAUUCCAACACCAGAGAAAUAAUGCAAAACAUGUAAACAAUCCCCAGAACCAGAAGAGACAGAAGGCUUGCUAAGUAAUAAAUUCUCCUUGGCCACAGACCACAUCAAAAAAAAAAAAAAAAAAAAAAAAAAA
rnacentral:lncRNA from 1 species